CUACGGGGUGCUCCAGUGAGGAAUAUUGCACAAUGGAGGAAACUCUGGUGCAGCAACGCCGCGUGGAGGAUGACGCAUUUCGGUGUGUAAACUCCUUUUAUGAGUCAAGAAAAUGACGGUAGCUCAUGAAUAAGCACCGGCUAACUCCGUGCCAGCAGCCGCGGUAAUACGGAGGGUGCAAGCGUUACUCGGAAUCACUGGGCGUAAAGGACGCGUAGGCGGGAUAUCAAGUCAGGUGUGAAAUCCUACAGCUUAACUGUAGAACUGCACUUGAAACUGGUAACCUAGAGUAUGGGAGGGGGAGAUGGAAUUAGUGGUGUAGGGGUAAAAUCCGUAGAUAUCACUAGGAAUACCUAAAGCGAAGGCGAUCUCCUGGAACAUAACUGACGCUAAGGCGUGAAAGCGUGGGGAGCAAACAGGAUUAGAUACCCGAGUAGUC
rnacentral:rRNA from 1 species